rnacentral:rRNA from 2 species
AGGUUAAGUUAACAAGGGCGCAUGGUGAAUGCCUUGGCACUAGGAGCCGAUGAAGGACGGGACUAACACCGAUAUGCUUCGGGGAGCUGUACGUAAGCUAUGAUCCGGAGAUUUCCGAAUGGGGCAACCCAGCAGUUUUAAUCAACUGUUACCACUAGAUGAAUUCAUAGUCUAGUUGGAGGUAAACGCUGUGAACUGAAACAUCUCAUUAGCAGCAGGAAUAUAAAGAAAUUUCGAUUCCCUAAGUAGCGGCGAGCGAACGGGGAACAGCCCAAACCAAAGUGCUUGCACUUUGGGGUUGUAGGACUGAACAUUUGAGUUACCAAAGAACUUGAUAGUCGAAGGAUUUGGGAAAAUCCGCCAUAGAUGGUGAUAGCCCAGUAGAUUAAAUCAAAUUCUCUCAGUUCAGGAUCCUGAGUACGGCGGAACACGUGAAAUUCCGUCGGAAUCCGGGAGGACCAUCUCCCAAGGCUAAAUACUACCUAGUGACCGAUAGUGAACCAGUACCGUGAGGGAAAGGUGAAAAGCACCCCGGGAGGGGAGUGAAAUAGUUCCUGAAACCAUGUGCCUACAAUAAGUCAGAGCGCGUUAAUGCGUGAUGGCGUGCCUUUUGUAGAAUGAACCGGCGAGUUAUGAUCCCGUGCAAGGUUAAGACUAAAAAGUCGGAGCCGUAGCGAAAGCGAGUCUGAAAUGGGCGAUUUGAGUACGAGGUUAUAGACCCGAAACCAGGUGACCUAUCCAUGUCCAGGUUGAAGGUGCGGUAAAACGCACUGGAGGACCGAACCCGUGUAAGUUGAAAAUUGCUGGGAUGAGGUGUGGAUAGCGGUGAAAUUCCAAACGAACUUGGAGAUAGCUGGUUCUCUCCGAAAUAGCUUUAGGGCUAGCCUCGGAUUAAGGAUCAUGGAGGUAGAGCACUAUUUGGACUAGGGGCCCGUCUUGGGUUACUGAAUUCAGAUAAACUCCGAAUGCCAUUGAUUCAUGUCCGGGAGUCAGACGAUGAGUGAUAAGAUCCACCGUCGAAAGGGGAACAGCCCAGACCAUCAGUUAAGGUCCCUAAAUGUAUGCUAAGUGGAAAAGGAUGUGGAGUUGCAUAGACAACUAGGAUGUUGGCUCAGAAGCAGCCACCAUUUAAAGAGUGCGUAAUAGCUCACUAGUCGAGUGAUCCUGCGCCGAAAAUGUACCGGGGCUAAGCAUACUACCGAAACCAUGGAUGCGACCAUUAGGUCGCGUGAUAGGAGAGCGUUCUAAGGGCGGUGAAGCAAGAUCGUGAGGACUUGUGGAGCGCUUAGAAGUGAGAAUGCCGGUAUGAGUAGCGAAAGAUAGGUGAGAAUCCUAUCCACCGAAUGACUAAGGUUUCCUGGGGAAGGCUCGUCCUCCCAGGGUUAGUCGGGACCUAAGUCGAGGCCGAGAGGCGUAGACGAUGGAUAACAGGUUGAGAUUCCUGUACUAGUUAAGUGCGUUUGAGCAAUGGAGGGACGCAGGAGGCUAAGAUGUGCAUUCUGUUGGAUUAGAAUGUCCAAGCAGUAAGUCUUGUGGAGAGUCAAAUGCUUUUCACUUUAAGGACAAGCUGUGAUGGGGAGCGAAAUUUAGUAGCGAAGCGUCUGAUGUCACACUGCCGAGAAAAGUUUCUAGUGAGUACUUAACUACCCGUACCGCAAACCGACACAGGUAGUCGAGGAGAGAAUCCUAAGGUGAGCGAGUGAACUCUCGUUAAGGAACUCGGCAAAAUGACCCCGUAACUUCGGGAGAAGGGGUGCUGAUCGCAAGAUCAGCCGCAGUGAAUAGGCCCAGGCGACUGUUUAUCAAAAACACAGGUCUCUGCAAAAUCGUAAGAUGACGUAUAGGGGCUGACGCCUGCCCGGUGCUGGAAGGUUAAAAGGAUGGGUUAGCUUCGGCGAAGCUCAGAAUUGAAGCCCCAGUAAACGGCGGCCGUAACUAUAACGGUCCUAAGGUAGCGAAAUUCCUUGUCGGGUAAGUUCCGACCCGCACGAAAGGCGUAACGAUCUGGGCACUGUCUCAACGAGAGACUCGGUGAAAUUAUAUUGUCCGUGAAGAUGCGGACUACCCGCGACAGGACGGAAAGACCCCAUGGAGCUUUACUGUAGCUUGAUAUUGAGUGUUUGUACAGCUUGUACAGGAUAGGUAGGAGCCAUAGAAACCGGAACGCUAGUUUCGGUGGAGGCGUUGGUGGGAUACUACCCUCGCUGUAUGACCACUCUAACCCGCACCACUAAUCGUGGUGGGAGACAGUGUCAGGUGGGCAGUUUGACUGGGGCGGUCGCCUCCUAAAAAGUAACGGAGGCGCCCAAAGGUUCCCUCAGAAUGGUUGGAAAUCAUUCGCAGAGUGUAAAGGCACAAGGGAGCUUGACUGCGAGACAGACAGGUCGAGCAGGGACGAAAGUCGGGCUUAGUGAUCCGGUGGUACCGUAUGGAAGGGCCAUCGCUCAACGGAUAAAAGCUACCCUGGGGAUAACAGGCUUAUCUCCCCCAAGAGUCCACAUCGACGGGGAGGUUUGGCACCUCGAUGUCGGCUCAUCGCAUCCUGGGGCUGUAGUCGGUCCCAAGGGUUGGGCUGUUCGCCCAUUAAAGCGGUACGCGAGCUGGGUUCAGAACGUCGUGAGACAGUUCGGUCCCUAUCCGUCGCGGGCGUAGGAAAUUUGAGAGGACCUGUCCUUAGUACGAGAGGACCGGGAUGGACAUACCUCUGGUGUACCAGUUGUGCCGCCAGGCGCAUCGCUGGGUAGCUACGUAUGGAUGUGAUAAACGCUGAAAGCAUCUAAGUGUGAAACACACCUCGAGAUGAGAUUUCCCAUUCCUUUAUGGAAGUAAGACCCCUGAAAGAUGAUCAGGUAGAUAGGUUAGAAGUGGCAGUGCGGUGACGCAUGAAGCGGACUAAUACUAAUCGGUCGAGGACUUAACCAAG